CACGUAGGGCGCAAGCGUUGUCCGGAAUUAUUGGGCGUAAAGAGCUCGUAGGCGGUUUGUCGCGUCGUCUGUGAAAUUCUGCAACUCAAUUGUAGGCGUGCAGGCGAUACGGGCAGACUUGAGUACUACAGGGGGAGACUGGAAUUCCUGGUGUAGCGGUGAAAAUGCGCAGAUAUCAGGAGGAACACCCAAUUGCGAAGGCAGCUCGCUGGGACGUUACUGACGCUGAGACGCGAAAGCGUGGGGGAGCAAACAGG
rnacentral:rRNA from 1 species